rnacentral:rRNA from 1 species
GAUGAACGCUGGCGGCGUGCCUAAUACAUGCAAGUAGAACGCUGAAGGAAGGAGCUUGCUCUUUCCGGAUGAGUUGCGAACGGGUGAGUAACGCGUAGGUAACCUGCCUGGUAGCGGGGGAUAACUAUUGGAAACGAUAGCUAAUACCGCAUAACAGUAGAUGUUGCAUGAUAACUACUUAAAAGGUGCAAUUGCACCACUACCAGAUGGACCUGCGUUGUAUUAGCUAGUUGGUGAGGUAACGGCUCACCAAGGCGACGAUACAUAGCCGACCUGAGAGGGUGAUCGGCCACACUGGGACUGAGACACGGCCCAGACUCCUACGGGAGGCAGCAGUAGGGAAUCUUCGGCAAUGGACGGAAGUCUGACCGAGCAACGCCGCGUGAGUGAAGAAGGUUUUCGGAUCGUAAAGCUCUGUUGUAAGAGAAGAACGAGUGUGAGAGUGGAAAGUUCACACUGUGACGGUAUCUUACCAGAAAGGGACGGCUAACUACGUG